rnacentral:rRNA from 1 species
GGGAUCCUCUAGAGAUUCCUACGGGAGGCAGCAGUAGGGAAUCUUCCACAAUGGACGAAAGUCUGAUGGAGCAAUGCCGCGUGAGUGAAGAAGGUUUUCGGAUCGUAAAACUCUGUUGUGAGGGAAGAACAAGUAUGAGAGUAACUGCUCGUACCUUGACGGUACCUCAUUAGAAAGCCACGGCUAACUACGUGCCAGCAGCCGCGGUAAU